GACGAACGCUGGCGGCGUGCUUAACACAUGCAAGUCGAACGGAAAGGCCCUGCUUUUGUGGCGUGCUCGAGUGGCGAACGGGUGAGUAACACGUGAGUAACCUGCCCUUGACUUUGGGAUAACUUUAGGAAACUGGGGCUAAUACAGGAUAUGAGCUCCUGCUGCAUGGUGGGGGUUGGAAAGUUUCGGCGGUUGGGGAUGGACUCGCGGCUUAUCAGCUUGUUGGUGGGGUAGUGGCUUACCCAGGCUUUGACGGGUACCCGGCCUGAGAGGGUGACCGGCCACAUAGGGACUGAGAUACGGCCCAGACUCCUACGGGAGGCAGCAGUGGGGAAUAUUGCACAAUGGGCGGAAGCCUGAUGCAGCAACGCCGCGUGCGGGAUGACGGCCUUCGGGUUGUAAACCGCUUUCGCCUGUGACGAAGCGUGAGUGACGGUAAUGGGUAAAGAAGCACCGGCUAACUACGUG
rnacentral:rRNA from 1 species